rnacentral:lncRNA from 1 species
GGACAGGGCUCCAGGGGGUUGGUGGCACCGUGGGGACGGGGCUCCACGGGGGUGGCACUUUGGUGAGAUGGGGGCUCCAGGGGUUGGUGGCACCAUGGGGACAGGGCUCCAAGGGGUUGGUGGCACCAUGGGGAUGGGGCUCCAAGGGGUUGGUGGCACCGUGGGGACGGGGCUCCAAGGGGUUGGUGGCACCGUGGGGACAGGGCUCCAGGGGGUGGUGGCACCAUGGGGACGGGCUCCAAGGGGUUGGUGGCACCAUGGGGACAGGGCUCCAAGGGGGUGGUGGCACCAUGGGGACGGGGCUCCAAGGGGUUGGUGGCACCGUGGGGACAGGGCUCCAGGGGGUGGUGGCACCUGUCAGGCAGGUGGAAGUGGCACUUCGGGGACACGGUGGCCCUGGCUCACGCCUGGCACUCGGACUUCUUCUGGGCAGCCUGUGGGGACAGAU